UGGGGGAUCUUGGACAAUGGGCGAAAGCCUGAUCCAGCGACGCCGCGUGGAGGAUGAAGCCCUUCGGGGUGUAAACUCCUUUUGUCGGGGAAAAAGGGCUGAUGGUACCCGACGAAUAAGCCCCGGCUAACUACGUGCCAGCAGCCGCGGUAAUACGUAGGGGGCGAGCGUUACCCGGAAUUACUGGGCGUAAAGGGUGCGUAGGCGGCCCCGUGUGUCCGGUGUAAAAGUCCACGGCUCAACCGUGGGUAUGCGCUGGAAACUGCGGGGCUUGGGUGCGGCAGAGGCAGACGGAACUGCUGGUGUAGGGGUGAAAUCCGUAGAUAUCAGCAGGAACGCCGGUGGAGAAGUCGGUCUGCUGGGCCGUAACCGACGCUGAGGCACGAAAGCUAGGGGAGCGAACCGGAUUAGAUACCCGGGUAGUCCUAGCCGUAAACGAUGCUCACUAGGUGUGGGGCGUAGAGCUCCGUGCUGAAGCUAACGCGUUAAGGAGCCGCCUGGGAUUCGCCCCACUGG
rnacentral:rRNA from 1 species